AGAGUUUGAUCAUGGCUCAGGACGAACGCCGGCGGUGUGCNUAAUACAUGCAAGUCGUACGCACUGGCCCAACUGAUUGAUGGUGCUUGCACAUGAUUGACGAUGGAUCACCAGUGAGUGGCGGACGGGUGAGUAACACGUAGGUAACCUGCCCCGGAGCGGGGGAUAACAUUUGGAAACAGAUGCUAAUACCGCAUAACAACAAAAGCCACAUGGCUUUUGUUUGAAAGAUGGCUUUGGCUAUCACUCUGGGAUGGACCUGCGGUGCAUUAGAUAGUUGGUAAGGUAACGGCUUACCAAGGCGAUGAUGCAUAGCCGAGUUGAGAGACUGAUCGGCCACAAUGGAACUGAGACACGGUCCAUACUCCUACGGGAGGCAGCAGUAGGGAAUCUUCCACAAUGGGCGCAAGCCUGAUGGAGCAACACCGACGUGAGUGAAGAAGGGUUUCGGCUCGUAAAGCUCUGUUGUUGGAGAAGAACGUGCGUGAGAGUAACUGUUCACGCAGUGACGGUAUCCAACCAGAAAGUCACGGCUAACUACGUGCCAGCAGCCGCGGUAAUACGUAGGUGGCAAGCGUUAUCCGGAUUUAUUGGGCGUAAAGCGAGCGCAGGCGGUUGCUUAGGUCUGAUGUGAAAGCCUUCGGCUUAACCGAAGAAGUGCAUCGGAAACCGGGCAACUUGAGUGCAGAAGAGGACAGUGGAACUCCAUGUGUAGCGGUGGAAUGCGUAGAUAUAUGGAAGAACACCAGUGGCGAAGGCGGCUGUCUGGUCUGCAACUGACGCUGAGGCUCGAAAGCAUGGGUAGCGAACAGGAUUAGAUACCCUGGUAGUCCAUGCCGUAAACGAUGAGUGCUAGGUGUUGGAGGGUUUCCGCCCUUCAGUGCCGGAGCU
rnacentral:rRNA from 1 species